rnacentral:rRNA from 1 species
UACGGGGGGUGCAAGCGUUAAUCGGAAUUACUGGGCGUAAAGGGUGCGUAGGUGGUUGAUUAAGUUAUUCGUGAAAUUCCUGGGCUUAACCUGGGCUGGUCGGAUAAUACUGGUUAACUUGAGUAUGAGGAGAGGGUAGGGGAAUUUCCGGUGUAGCGGUGAAAUGCGUAGAGAUCGGAAGGAACACUGGUGGCGAAGGCGCCUACCUGGCCUGAUACUGACACUGGAGGCACGAAAGCGUGGGGAGCAAACAGG